rnacentral:rRNA from 1 species
UACGAAGGGUGCAAGCGUUACUCGGAAUUACUGGGCGUAAAGCGUGCGUAGGCGGUUAGUUAAGUCUGUCGUGAAAGCCCCGGGCUCAACCUGGGAAUGGCGAUGGAUACUGGCUAGCUAGAGUGUGUCAGAGGAUGGUGGAAUUCCCGGUGUAGCGGUGAAAUGCGUAGAGAUCGGGAGGAACACCAGUGGCGAAGGCGGCCAUCUGGGCUGAAACUGACGCUGAGGCGCGAAGGCUAGGGGAGCAAACAGG